AUUGAACGCUGGCGGCAGGCCUAACACAUGCAAGUCGAGCGGAGCUGCGAACGGGGGAGGAAUGCCUAGUAAUCUGCCUGGUAGUGGGGGAUAACGUCCGGAAACGGGCGCUAAUACCGCAUACUAUCAGAUGAGCCUAGGGCGGAUUAGCUAGUUGGUGGGGUAAAGGCCUACCAAGGCGACGAGCCGUAACUGGACUGAGAGGAUGAUCAGUCACACUGGAACUGAGACACGGUCCAGACUCCUACGGGAGGCAGCAGUGGGGAAUAUUCGACAAUGGGCGAAAGCCGGACCCAGCCAUGCCGCGUGUGUGAAGAAGGUCUUCGGAUUGUAAAGCACUUUAAGUUGGGAAGCGUUACCAACAGAAUAAGCAACGGCUAACUUCGUGCCAGCAGCCGCGGUAAUUC
rnacentral:rRNA from 1 species